GGGCUAAUGGUGUAGUUGGUUAUCACGCUCGCUUAGCACAGAAGUGUUGUCAAGAAUAUGCGAGAGGGGUCCGGUUCAAUUCCGGAUUAGUCCA